GUCUCUCACAGAAAUCGGUGUGGACCUGAGGACUCAGGUCCAAGAGAGGGAGAGUGUUGAAAGUGAAAGUGAAUCAGCUGGAAUACAGAGAGAACAAACAGGAAGUGAAACAUCAGUGCCCAGCAACAGAACCUUUAGCACACUGCACAGAUUGUGCCUACGGAGCAGGUAUAGCCGUACAAUUCAAGACCAAGUACGGAACACAAAAGGUUGUAAGACAGAACAAACACACAGGUGAAUGUGCAGUUACUCAUGAGGACGACGGCAGACUGAUUUUUCAUUUAAUAACCAAACAAAACUGUACUGAUUUACCAACAUAUGAGAAUUUUACCAACAGCCUCAGAUGUAUGAGAGAUUGGUGUGAGGAAAAAGGAAUAACAAGUGUAUCCACUCCCCGGAUGGGGUGUGGGUUAGAUAAAUUGGAUUUCCAUAAGGUGGAGAUCCUGACAGAAGUGAUUGUAAACGUCAUAUAAGUGUAUGUUUUUCCAUCAUUUUACUUCUUUUGCUAUACUCUUACCUGUUAUUAAGUUUCAAUUUAACAGUGUUUUUUUUUUUUUAUUAAGCCAAUAGGCAUAAGUGUAUUUUUUCCACAGAGAUGAAGCUAUAUGGCAAUUGGAAGGUUCUGUGGGCCCUAGGGGUUAUAACUGCAAUUAUAAUCACCAUAAUAUUUAGCAUAAACAAUGGAGGUAAUCUGAAAAUUGACAAAAGGUCCAAAACUACAUCACAAGAUUAGUGUGUACAGGGAUAUGGGGGAAUUGAAUUGAAUUACACAAAAAAUUCAACGACGUCAUACACCUUUGCAGUAUGAUAGAUUGUGGAGGGCAAUAGUAACCUCCAUAGUAGUGUCCAUUGGUGUAUUCGUGGCCAUCCUGGUGACCUGUGGAUGUUGUUGCAUUCCCUGUCUUAGAUCCCUGUGCAACAGAUUAAUAGUAUCUGCAAUAGAGAAAAAAGAGAACAAUCCACCCCCAUGUAGCAUGCCCCUAUUAGGCUUACAGAACCUGGAUGAGGAGGAAUAAGAAAAUGUGUGACCUCUUUCAGAGGUCAAGAGAGGGAAUUGUGGGAUUUGAUUUUAUUUUAUUAGUCGUGCUGUUUAUAAUCUUAAUUCAUGUGUAUUUUUAAAACAAUGAUUUCUGUGCUGAGUACAAGAGAGCUGUCUGUGUGUGGAGGGUUAUUGGGGGGAGGUAGCUUGAGUGAAGGAAUUUCCAGCUGGUGAUGGCCGAGAUAAGAGCAAAGCUUUAAGGAGAAAACACACAGACAAAGAAGUGCAUGCUUUUGAUAUUAGUUCACUGGCAAUCAUUCAUUUCCAGAUUGUUACAUGUAGAGGUGUUUGGAUUUAUAAAAUUACAUGUUGCUAUGAAUAUUAAUGUGUUAAAAUAUAUAAAUGAUUAUGCCUU